UAACGCGAAGAACCUUACCAAGGCUUGACAUGGGCCGGACCGGGCUGGAAACAGUCCUUCCCCUUUGGGGCCGGUUCACAGGUGGUGCAUGGUUGUCGUCAGCUCGUGUCGUGAGAUGUUGGGUUAAGUCCCGCAACGAGCGCAACCCUCGUUCCAUGUUGCCAGCGCGUAAUGGCGGGGACUCAUGGGAGACUGCCGGGGUCAACUCGGAGGAAGGUGGGGACGACGUCAAAUCAUCAUGCCCCUUAUGUCUUGGGCUUCACGCAUGCUACAAUGGCCGGUACAAAGGGUUGCGAUACUGUGAGGUGGAGCUAAUCCCAAAAAGCCGGUCUCAGUUCGGAUAGGGGUCUGCAACUCGACCCCAUGAAGUCGGAGUCGCUAGUAAUCGCAGAUCAGCAACGCUGCGGUGAAUACGUUCCCGGGUCUUGUACACACCGA
rnacentral:rRNA from 1 species